CCUGUAAAAAAGCUGUCAAGAACGACAUCUAUAUCCAGAUCAUUUCCCCUGAUGCAACGUCCUUGGGGAGAAAAAAUCAAUAAACAAGGAAAAGGAGAAAGGAAUAGAGUGACAGGGAUUUCAUCAGACAGGAAUUUUUAUUACAACAAUUUUCGUGGGCAGUGAAAAUGGAGAUAAAUUCCUUGAUAAUUGAUUGCUCCAACUUAAGUGUUCCAGAGACUUGUAAGCAGCUGGUGGUGAAGCAGACCCACACCGUCUUUGGUCCAGACUUUUGGAAGAAAUGAGAGGAAACUGCUGAUUUUCCGUUUGAUUUUUCGGUUUUUUAAGUUUCGGUAGUGAGUUGAAAAUGGUUGAAGAAAAAGUUUAUAUUAGUGAUCUGUCCUACCCAAUAGAA
rnacentral:lncRNA from 1 species